CCCCAUCCCGCCACGGCUCCGCUGGGCUGCAGCACCGCAGCGCUGGACUCAGGGGGUGAUUUGGGGGCUGCGGGGCGUGCGGCAGGCUGUCCGCACCGGGUGGCUGUGGGAAAGCUGGCAUUGCCCCACUGGGGAUGUCCUUGCUUUUCCAGCAGCCACAGCGAGCGCAGGCAUCCCAGAGGACGUGGUUGACACCGACAUCGACGAUCUGCUCACUUGGAUCAGUGGUGAGUCUGUGGUCUGCAGGGGUGGUGGGUUGGGUGUCCGGAGUACUGGCAUUGCCCCCGUGGGGAUUUUCUUGCCUUCUCCAGACAUGACCUCCAGCGCAGACAUCCCGGUUGACAGCGCGGAGAUCGAUGAUAUCCUGACGUGGAUCAGCAACGGUGAGUUCAGGGGCUGCAGAGCAGGCGGGGAUGUCUGCUCCGAGUGGCUGUGGGAAAGCUGGCAUUGCCCCCUUGGGGAUUUCUUCCUUUUCCCAGAAGGGACACCCAGCUCAGGCAUUCCAGAUGACAGCAUGGAACUCGACGGUUUGCUCAGCUGGAUCGUUGGUGAGUUCAGGGGCCGCAGCGGUGGCGGAUGGAUGUCCGCGCCGAGUGGCUGUGGGAAGGCUGCCGUCCUGGUUCUGGGGGAUGUUCUUUGUUUUGCAGAAGCGUCGAGUCCUCGGGAGGUCCCCCAGCAGGCGUUCCCAGCCGUCCCCAGCAGGCUCAGCACCUCUCCUUUCACCAGAG
rnacentral:lncRNA from 1 species